GGACGUGUGGCCCAAUGGCAAGGCGCUUGACUACGAUCUUCCAAAGAGUAAUCAAGAGAUUCCAGGUUCGACCCCUGGCACGUUCA